CACGUAGGGUGCGAGCGUUGUCCGGAAUUAUUGGGCGUAAAGAGCUCGUAGGCGGCUUGUCGCGUCGUCCGUGAAAACCCACAGCUCAACUGUGGGCUUGCGGUCGAUACGGGCAGGCUAGAGUUCGGUAGGGGAGACUGGAAUUCCUGGUGUAGCGGUGAAAUGCGCAGAUAUCAGGAAGAACACCAACGGCGAAAGCACUCUGCUGGGCCGACACUGACACUGAGAGACGAAAGCUAGGGGAGCGAAUGGG
rnacentral:rRNA from 1 species